GCUGCGCCUCUGUAUGUAUUAUAAAUUGGUUUAGAGCGGCGCGGGGAGUCGUCGGUCGCUCGCUCGAUACCGGCCAGUCGCGAGACAGAGCCGAGAGCGUUCGCUUCGCUAUCACCUCGAUUUACGAAACGAAAAUAAAAAUAAACCCCUAUUGUGGACCUCGGGGUGUACUAGUGUUGUGACCAUGUUAGUUGGUGUGUGAUAUUGACAUGUUGGAUUGUUAGCUGUUUUAGUUACACACAGUAUUUCGUUUCGAAGAAUCCAGUUACGGCGGCGCGAGGCGCUGGGAGAGUUGUUUAGAGGUAAGGCGUGUCAUGUACUGCAUCCAGGCUGUCAAACGCGCACGCGCAGCGUAUGCGCCGCGUGUUGUUACUAUAAACGCUUCCGGGGUGAGUCGACCAAGAGCUGCGAAUAUUACAAAUCACGCAUGCCCCUUGGAUGAGGUAGUUUUAUGUAAUGUUUUUGUCUUUAAGGUUGUAAUUUUUUACUGUCAUUUAUUUAUAACCUAUUUGUCUGCUUGCUCUUUCUGU